AUGAAAGCCAAAGCUGCCAGCAUCCUCCCCGGGUGCAGGCAUCUGUCCCGUCCACAGGGAAGGGGGUGUCCUCGCUUCGUAAUGGCUUCCUCCAUGGGAUUAGCCCAUACAGAACCCUGCUAUCAGCAGGAUGAGGUGGGGCCCACGCAGAUGGGAGAAUCAGCAAGGCUUCCGCCUGCCUUGCUGUCCUACUUGGUUCGGCUUAAAUCCCACACCAUCCCUCCAAAGUCAAGGGCAGCUCUACUGACACAGCACUAGAUGAUCCGUCGGAGCUAAGACCCAUUCCUCUGGUGCAUCUGUCAUUUCCUCACGAAACUACUUUGGUUCUCCCUUCUGAGUUGGGGAGAAAAAAACCAAAAAACCCAGUGCUACCUUUGGGUGCCCUUGGUCCCUGCGCACAGGUGGUUAGCAUUGUUUAUAAAGAGAACAGUCUGCUUUUCAGGCAUUCAAAGCUUCCAAUGGCAUUCAGACGUCGGUGCAGCGGACCCCAGAAGUGCCUAUGAAGUCUUAAGAAAAACACAUUUGGCUUUACGACUGGGGGAAAAUGGCCUCAGCCUGGGCAACUUUUAAGCCUGAUCACAAAUGGGCUCAUUUCGCGCGCGAUUCCAGGUUCCCUCAGACAGAAAGAAAUGAAAAUGAUCACAAAGCAUGCUAGAGGUUUGAAUGCACAGUGAAUUCAGGAAGGCUUGGUUGACAUUAUUGUUAGUAAAAAGAAAAAAAAAUCCAAGUCACAAUCCCUUAUUCUUUUAAAGGAGGUGAGUGAACAUUUUCCUUAAAGUUUAUUUCCAGUGGAUCACCCUAUAGGAGUCGCCCACGUUUAUAAUCACAUUGGAAAUUUCACACCGACAGCGCCGUGUGCUUGCUCUCGCUGAAAUAUUCAUGUCCUCUUUGCAUACUGGCCUGGGUGUGGAGGGGACCUUGUCAGACCUUUGCAUGUAGCAGGGCCGCUUUUGGCAGUGCAAAUAUUAAAACCGAAUGCAGACAGAGACGCCUACACAGGUCAGGGAAGACAAGGUCACAAUUAAAUUCUGUGCUAGGGCUCGCUCUGCCAGCAACUUCUGAAGUGGAUGGGAUCGGGGGAAGGCAAGGAAAUAUUUCUCGUAGCCAGUGGCCAAAGUUGUGAAAAGUGGGUAUUGGGCAGGUCCAGCAAAAAAUAUUCUUAGGUUUCCAAAAAAACAAAAAAAAGAAAGAAAUUAUGCAACAGAAAAACAAGGAAAGUGCUAAGUCAAUUUCCUGCACAACUGACAUUAAAUACCCAUCUUUGUAAAAAUAAAUACUCGGGCGAGUUUGGUGUCUUCA
rnacentral:lncRNA from 1 species